CAANCAAUAAGCGGAGGAAGAGAAACCCACAGGGAUUCCCUUAGUAGCGGCGAGUGAAGCGGCAAAAGCUCAAAUUUGAAAUCUGGCUCUUUCAGAGUCCGAGUUGUAAUUUGAAGAAGGUAUCUUUGGGUCUGGCUCUGGUCUAUGUUUCUUGGAACAGAACGUCACAGAGGGUGAGAAUCCCGUGCGAUGAGAUGAUCCAGGCCUAUGUAAAGUUCCUUCGAAGAGUCGAGUUGUUUGGGAAUGCAGCUCUAAGUGGGUGGUAAAUUCCAUCUAAAGCUAAAUAUUGGCGAGAGACCGAUAGCGAACAAGUACAGUGAUGGAAAGAUGAAAAGAACUUUGAAAAGAGAGUGAAAAAGUACGUGAAAUUGUUGAAAGGGAAGGGCUUGAGAUCAGACUUGGUAUUUUGUAUGUUACUUCUUCGGGGGUGGCCUCUACAGUUUAUCGGGCCAGCAUCAGUUUGGGCGGUAGGAGAAUUGCGUUGGAAUGUGGCACGGCUUCGGUUGUGUGUUAUAGCCUUCGUCGAUACUGCCAGCCUAGACUGAGGACUGCGGUUUAUACCUAGGAUGUUGGCA
rnacentral:rRNA from 1 species